CCAAGCCUAAAAAGGCACUUGCAAAGAAGAAAGAGAAGGCACCCAAAGGGAAAAAGAGUGAUGCUAGCAAGGAUGGGAAUAACCCUACAAAAAAUCGAGCUGCCAAAACAGACAAGACGCAGAAAGCUGAAGGUGAAAAUUGAGGAAGAUUCAUGAAGAAAUCUAAAAGUUCAAUGGAAUGUUGGGGACUAUGAGAGUUGAUGAUCCCUCCAUAUAAAGUUUUCUCCUCAGUGUCCAGGUCAUGCUGUGAUACAAGGAAUUCGAAGUGGAAAAAGUGAAAGUGUUAAUCGCUCAGUCGUGUCCGACUCUUUGCAACCCCAUGGGCUGUAGCCUACCAUGCUCCACUGUCCAUGGGAUUCUCCAGGCAAGAAUACUGGAAUGGGUUGCCAUUUCCUUCUUCAGGGGAUCUGCCCAACCCAGGAAUUGAACCUGGGUCUCCUGCAUUGCAGGCAGAUUCUUUACCAACUGAGCUAUGAGGGAAGCCUAGAACAUUACCUAUGCUAACUGUGCUUCUUCACUCUUCCUUUUGAUUCUUUGUUUUGAUUUCUGGUCAAGUCUGCCUGUGAAUUGUCUAGUUUGUCUUUUGAGCUGUGCCCCUUUCCAUAGCUGGUCCAUGAAGGGAGGGCACCAGACCUCUAGGCCAGGCUGACUUGCAUUCCCGACAAUCUGUUAAUACUAGAAGUUAAUCAGGAAAUUCCCUGGCUAUCCAGUGGCUAGGACUCUGUACUGUCACUACCAAGGGCCCAGGUUCAAUCCCUGGUGGGAGAACCAAGAUCCUACAAGCCGUGAAGCAGAAAAAUAAAAAUAAAAAUAAAAAACCCAACAAGAACAAAAACAGAAUUUAAUUGUGCCAGUGUGAUGAGUUUCUCUCAGAGGUAGCAGCAAAGUCAGGAAUCUAGUUUUAUGAUUGACAUUUGGUAAUCUCUGCCAAGGGAUGAUGAGGUCUCUCUGUUGGGUGAGAGAUGAUAGAGAUUGUUUGGGAGACCCAGGUUUGACCCCAAAGUCAGGAAGAUUCCUUGGAGAAGGGAAUGGCACUCACUCCAGUAUUCUUGCCUGAAGAAUUCCAUGGACAUAGGAGCCUGGUGGGCUACAGUUCUUGGGGUCACAAAGAGUCCAACAUGACUGAGUGACUAACACGUCUUCAGCUAUCUAUUACCAAAUAACAAAAAUCACCUAGAAUAGACUGUUGAGAAACUGAACCAAAUCUAUUACGUCAUUUAUGAGGCAUGUUACUUCCUACAAGGUCAUGUUGGAGUCUGACUUUUUUUUAUUUCAAUGGAUACAUUUGUAUUAAUUUACCUCUCUCUUCCUCUUCAAAAUAAUAUGAACAAGACUCUAAUGUAUUAGAGAUGUUGAGCUGUAAUACAGGGCUAAGGAGUCUCUACACUUGAAAGUAUUUACAUGGAAACAAAAUGGGAUUACAGUUUUAAUGUUUCUCAUUACAUGAUUGGUUUAAGAAAAUUUGUAUUAAUUUUUGAAAUAAUGACCAUGUCAGUGACUAAUAAUAAUGAUCACUAUUUUGUUACUGGUUUUAUGUUGUGUUUAAUAGUUAGUGAGACAUCUAAGUAUUAUCAACCUUUAUUCCUGGUAAUUUAUUACUGAUUUGUCAUGAUACUCAGUACCCCUUUGCAGAGAUAGUUGUCAAAAAUCAAGUUGCUUGAUGAGUGAAAGAAAAGAUCUAAAAGGAAUUGAAAACAAUAGAACACAUUUGUAUCUGUUUGGCUUUUAAAUGGGCGCUAAAGUUGGACUGUGAAGAAAGCUGAGUGCUGAAAAAUUGAUGCUUUUGAACUGUGGUGUUGGAGAAGACUCUUGAGAGUCCCUUGGACUGCAAGGAGAUCCAACCAGUCCAUCCUAAAGGAGAUCAGUCCUGGGUGUUCGUUGGAAGGACUGAUGUUGAAGCUGAAACUCCAGUACUUUGGCCACCUCAUGCGAAGAGUUGACUCAUUGGAAAAGACCCUGAUGCUGGCAGGGAUUGGGGGCAGGAGGAGAAGGGGACGACAGAGGUUGAGAUGGUUGGAUGGCAUCACCGACUCGAUGAACAUGAGUUUGAGUAAACUUCGGGAGCUGGUGAUGGACAGGGAGGCCUGGCGUGCUGCGAUUCAUGCAUGGGUCGCAAAGAGUCGCACACGACUGAGCGCCUGAACUGAACUGAACUGAAUAUUACAAAAUGGAAAUGAGAUGAGAGACAAUAAAUUCUUCUGAGAUAGACACAUACCCUCUCUUAUGUAUGUGUCUUUGUGUGUGUGUCAUGUUUGAUAUGCCUAUUUUUUUUUAAUUGGAGUAAAAUUGCUUUACAGUUUUCUGUUCGUUUCUGCCAUACACCAAAGCAACUCAGCCAUAAUUAUAAAUAUAUUACCUCCUUCUUGACUUGUAUAAGUUUUUGAUGUAUAUGAGAAUAGAAUGUAUUUAAUGAACUUCUUCCUUAAGC